GAUGAACGCUGGCGGCAUGCCUAACACAUGCAAGUCGAACGAGACCUUCGGGUCUAGUGGCGCACGGGUGCGUAACACGUGGGAAUUUGCCUCGGGGUAUGGAAUAACUCAGGGAAACUUGAGCUAAUACCAUAUAAUGUCUUCGGACCAAAGAUUUAUCGCCCUGAGAUAAGCCCGCGUAGGAUUAGCUAGUUGGUGGGGUAAAGGCUCACCAAGGCGACGAUCCUUAGCUGGUCUGAGAGGAUGAUCAGCCACACUGGGACUGAGACACGGCCCAGACUCCUACGGGAGGCAGCAGUGGGGAAUAUUGGACAAUGGGCGCAAGCCUGAUCCAGCCAUGCCGCGUGUGUGAGAAGGCCUCGGUUGUAACUAGC
rnacentral:rRNA from 1 species